rnacentral:rRNA from 1 species
AGCAGCCGCGGUAAUUCCAGCUCCAAUAGCGUAUAUUAAAGUUGUUGCAGUUAAAAAGCUCGUAGUUGAAUUUCGGGGUCAGUAGAUUGGUCAUGCCUCCGGUAUGUACUGGUCUUACUGGCUCCUCCUUCCUGAUGAACCGUAAUGCCAUUAAUUUGGUGUUGCGGGGAGACUGGACUGUUACUUUGAAAAAUUGAGUGUUUAAAGCAGGCUAACGCUUGAAUACAUUAGCAUGGAAUAAUGAAAUAGGACGUUCGAUCUUAUUUUGUUGGUUUCUAAGAUUGACGUAAUGAUUAAUAGGGAUAGUUGGGGGCAUUAGUAUUCAAUUGUCAGAGGUGAAAUUCUUGGAUUUAUUGAAGACUAACUACUGCGAAAGCAUUUGCCAAGGAUGUUUUCAUUAAUCAAGAACGAAAGUUAGGGGAUCGAAGACGAUCAGAUACCGUCGUAGUCUUAACCAUAAACUAUGCCGACUAGGGAUCGGAUGAUGUUAAUUUUUAAUGACUCAUUCGGCG